UCUGGAACGUCUCUGAAUUCUAGUAUUCCAGAAUCUGAGUUUGUAGCAAGUAUAGCCCAUCAGUGCUCUGAGAAGCAAGUAAGCAUCCCUAAGAAGUGACUGUCAUAAUUUAGGGCAAUGGAAGCUAAGAAGACCAUUAAUUUGUAAGUCUUGCUAAUAUUGGACAUGCAUUGGUGGAACAAAUGCUAAGAAAACGAAACUGAACUAACUUUCCCUAGAGAACAGGGUAGAGAAGAGAAGAGUGUGCCUCCAGGGUUUGGGAAGAAAAUGAUUGUACUUCAUUCAGGGACAGUUGAAAGAAAAGAAGCAGCUUUCCCCCCAAUGGACAAGAAUGAUGAAAUCACCAAAACAGGAAUGCAGGGGCAUACUCAUACUGGAAGAAGGGAAGCAAGUGACAUCAGGAUGCAAAUUAUGAACCACUGAAGAGGAACAAAAUUAAAUUUCCAUUUCAGCUCUUCACUCAUUGAAUUAGUUCCUGUUCCUGACAAGUUAAUGCCCAAGCACUAGCUUUGCUUUGUCGCUGAAAUUCCUUAGAAAUUGGCAGGUUUCCAUUGUUUCCCUCAAAAGCAGUUACUCAGAAAUAGGUAAUGACAUAGAAGGGGACUGUAGAUCUCCAUCUAGGCAUAGUCCUGGAAUUGACUCCAAAUACAUCACUUUCCUAUAUAAAAGCUGAUUGGGUUUAUAUUACUGUUGCUGUAUGUCUCUUUGUAUGGUUUGGGUUGUAAAUGUGUGUGUGGGGGGGGGUUAGGUGAAAGGGAAAUGCUUUGUAAUUCUACUCUGCUUUAUUCUCUGUGGUCCAAUCAUUGUUUACUGGUGAACUCUCAAUCCUUCCAUUUCAUUUUUUGGUUUGUUUAACCUCAAAUUCUUA
rnacentral:lncRNA from 1 species